GGGAAAGUGAUUCAGUGGUAGAGUGCUUGCCUUGCAUGCAUGAGGCCCUGGGUUCAAUUCCUCAGCACCA
rfam:Dipodomys ordii contig_19988, whole genome shotgun sequence.